UAGGGAAUAUUGGACAAUGGGUGAGAGCCUGAUCCAGCCAUGCCGCGUGCAGGAAGAAGGCGUUAUGCGUUGUAAACUGCUUUUGCCAGGGGAUAAAAAGACCGUGCGCGGUUAAUUGAAGGUACCUGGUGAAUAAGCCACGGCUAACUACGUGCCAGCAGCCGCGGUAAUACGUAGGUGGCAAGCGUUGUCCGGAUUUAUUGGGUUUAAAGGGUGCGUAGGUGGCCCUGUAAGUCAGUGGUGAAAUAUCUCAGCUUAACUGAGAGGGUGCCAUUGAUACUGCAGGGCUUGAGUACAGAUGAGGUAGGCGGAAUUGACGGUGUAGCGGUGAAAUGCAUAGAUAUCGUCAAGAACACCGAUAGCGAAGGCAGCUUACCAAGCUGUAACUGACACUGAGGCACGAAAGUGUGGGGAUCAAACAGGAUUAGAUACCCAAGUAGUCCCUGAGCGGGCUGGCAAGGCGCAU
rnacentral:rRNA from 1 species